CCUACGGGAUGCAGCAGUGGGGAAUAUUGCACAAUGGGCGCAAGCCUGAUGCAGCCAUGCCGCGUGUAUGAAGAAGGCCUUCGGGUUGUAAAGUACUUUCAGCGGGGAGGAAGGUGUUGAGGUUAAUAACCUCAGCAAUUGACGUUGCCCGCAGAAGAAGCACCGGCUAACUCCGUGCCAGCAGCCGCGGUAAUACGGAGGGUGCAAGCGUUAAUCGGAAUUACUGGGCGUAAAGCGCACGCAGGCGGUCUGUCAAGUUGGAUGUGAAAUCCCCGGGCUCAACCUGGGAACUGCAUUCGAAACUGGCAGGCUAGAGUCUUGUAGAGGGGGGUAGAAUUCCAGGUGUAGCGGUGAAAUGCGUAGAGAUCUGGAGGAAUACCGGUGGCGAAGGCGGCCCCCUGGACAAAGACUGACGCUCAGGUGCGAAAGCGUGGGGAGCAAACAGGAUUAGAUACCCGUGUAGUC
rnacentral:rRNA from 1 species